UACGGAGGGUGCGAGCGUUGUCCGGAAUCACUGGGCGUAAAGGGCGCGUAGGCGGCCCUGGCAGUCGGUGGUGAAAGCCCGCGGCUCAACGUGCGGGUCGGCCACCGAUACUCCAGGGCUCGAGUUUGGUAGAGGCAGAUGGGAAUUCCGGGUGUAGCGGUGGAAUGCGUAGAGAUCCGGAAGAACACCGGUGGCGAAGGCGGCCUGCUGGGACAGUGCUGAC
rnacentral:rRNA from 1 species